rnacentral:rRNA from 1 species
GACAGAGGUCCCAAGCGUUGUUCGGAUUCAUUGGGCGUAAAGGGUGCGUAGGCGGCGCGGUAAGUCGGGUGUGAAAUCUCGGGGCUUAACUCCGAAACUGCAUUCGAUACUGCCGUGCUUGAGGACUGGAGAGGAGACUGGAAUUUACGGUGUAGCGGUGAAAUGCGUAGAUAUCGUAAGGAACACCAGUGGCGAAGGCGGCUCACUGGCCCGAUACUGACGCUGAGGCACGAAAGCGUGGGGAGCAAACAGG